UGUGAUUGUGUGUGUGCGUGUGUAUGUGUGUGUGUAUAUAUAUAUACAUAUAUAUAUAUAUAUAUAUAUACACACAUACACACACACACACGAUCACAGA